UACGUAGGGUGCGAGCGUUAAUCGGAAUUACUGGGCGUAAAGCGUGCGCAGGCGGUUCGCCAAGUCAGGUGUGAAAUCCCCGGGCUUAACCUGGGAAUUGCGCUUGAAACUAGCGGGCUUGAGUGCGGCAGAGGGGGGUGGAAUUCCACGUGUAGCAGUGAAAUGCGUAGAUAUGUGGAGGAACACCGAUGGCGAAGGCAGCCCCCUGGGCCUGCACUGACGCUCAUGCACGAAAGCGUGGGGAGCAAACAGG
rnacentral:rRNA from 1 species